UCCUGGCUCAGGACGAACGCUGGCGGCGUGCUUAACACAUGCAAGUCGAACGGAGAUCAUGGUGGAAGUCCUUCGGGGCGGAAGGCGUGAUUUAGUGGCGGACGGGUGAGUAACGCGUGAACAAUCUGUCCCAGACAGGGGGAUAACACUUGGAAACAGGUGCUAAUACCGCAUAAGACCACGGUAUCGCAUGGUAGCGGGGUAAAAGGAGCGAUCCGGUUUGGGGUGAGUUCGCGUCCGAUUAGCCAGUUGGCGGGGUAACGGCCCACCAAAGCGACGAUCGGUAGCCGAUCUGAGGGGAUGACCGGCCACAUUGGAACUGAGAGACGGUCCAAACUCCUACGGGAGGCAGCAGUGGGGAAUAUUGGGCAAUGGGCGAAAGCCCUGACCCAGCAACGCCGCGUGAGUGAAGAAGGCCUUCGGGUUGUAAAGCUCUGUUAUAGGGGACGAAGGAAGUGACGGUACCCUAUAAGGAAGCCCCGGCUAACUACGUGCCAGCAGCUGC
rnacentral:rRNA from 1 species